CAUAUUGAUAAAUAUGGAGAGUAAAGCCACAUCUAAAAAGAAAGGUGGUGCUCAGAAAAUACGAGAAAAACGGUCCAAAGAACUUGAGUUAGCAGUUAGGGAUCCUAAGCAAAUGAAACUAUCUUUUUCGGUGGUAUGUUAAAAGUUCAAAAGUUAAGGCCGGUUGUUACAUUUUAUGUCACAGAAAUGUAUAUUCACUCUUUGAUAACAAGAAUGAAUAUAUCUAGUCUGUUUGCAUGUGCAUGAUGAAGUUUGUUAAGAUUCAU